rnacentral:snRNA from 1 species
AUACUUACCUGGCAGGGGAGAUACCAUGAUCACAAAGGUGGUUUUCCCAGGGUGAGGCUUAUCCACUGCACUCCGGAUGUGCUGACCCUUGCGAUUUCCCCAAAUGCGGGAAACUCGACUGCAUAAUUUGUGUUAAAUGAAUACAUGUUAAAGUAAAAAAAAAUAUAUAUUUAU